rnacentral:rRNA from 1 species
UACGUAGGGUGCAAGCGUUAUCCGGAAUUAUUGGGCGUAAAGAGCUCGUAGGCGGUUUAUCGCGUCUGCUGUGAAAAUCCAGGGCUUAACCCUGGACCUGCAGUGGGUACGGGCAGACUAGAGUGCGGUAGGGGAGAUCGGAAUUCCUGGUGUAGCGGUGAAAUGCGCAGAUAUCAGGAGGAACACCGGUGGCGAAGGCGGAUCUCUGGGCCGUAACUGACGCUGAGGAGCGAAAGCAUGGGGAGCGAACAGG